rnacentral:rRNA from 1 species
CCCGGGAUAGCCUUAGUAACGGCGAGUGAAGCGGCAAAAGCUCAAAUUUGAAAUCUGGUACCUUCGGUGCCCGAGUUUGUAAUUUGGAGAGGGCAACUUUGGGGCCGUUCCUUGUCUAUGUUCCUUGGAACAGGACGUCAUAGAGGGUGAGAAUCCCGUGUGGCGAGGAGUGCGGUUCUUUGUAAAGUGCCUUCGAAGAGUCGAGUUGUUUGGGAAUGCAGCUCUAAGUGGGUGGGUAAAUUCCAUCUAAAGCUAAAUAUUGGCGAGAGACCGAUAGCGAACAAGUACAGUGAUGGAAAGAUGAAAAGAACUUUGAAAAGAGAGUGAAAAAGUACGUGAAAUUGUUGAAAGGGAAGGGCAUUUGAUCAGACAUGG